rnacentral:rRNA from 1 species
AAAAGCUCGUAGUUGGAUUUCUGUUGAGGACGGCCGGUCCGCACUAUGUGCGUCUUUCUGGUUCGGCCUUGGCAUCCUCUUGAGGAUUGUUCCUGCGCUUGAUUGCGUGGGGCGGUAUUCAAGACUUUUACUUUGAGGAAAUUAGAGUGUUCACGGCAGGCAAGCGCCUUGAAUACAUUAGCAUGGAAUAAUAAUAUAGGAUCUUGGUUCUAUUUGUUGGUUUCUAGGGCUAAGGUAAUGAUUAAUAGGGAUAAUUGGGGGCAUUUGUAUUAACGCGUCAGAGGUGGAAUUCUUGGAUUGCGUUACGACAAACUACUGCGAAAGCAUUUGCCAAGGAUGUUUUCAUUGAUCAAGAACGAAAGUAUGGGGAUCGAAGAUGAUUACAUACCGUCGUAGUCUAUACCAUAAACUAUGCCGACUAGGGAUUGGAGGUCGUUCUUUUUAUGACUCCUUCAGCACCUUAUGAGAAAUCAAAGUCUUUGGGUUCCGGGGGGAGUAUAGUCGCAAGGCUGAAACUUAAAGGAAUUGACGGAAGGUCACCACCAGGAGUGGAGCCUGCGGCUUAAUUUGACUCAACACGGGUGAAACU